ensembl:lncRNA
AGGGUCUUGCCCCUGUGUGUUUCUUCUUCAGUCGUGUGUGUGUGUGUGUGUGUGUGUGUUCCUGUUUUACUUUGGUAGUCUCCUGUCGGUGUGCGUCAUGUUCUGAUUUGCUUCUCCCUGCCAGCUGUGUUCCCAGGUGUUUCCUCUUUCCCCCGUUACCGUCUUGUAUUUAUUGUCUCUGUCCUAUGCUCGGUGUCUCUUUUCUCCCUCAGAGAAAGAGUCAGAGGUCUUCUUUGAAUAUUUCUGCGUUUUAGUUGGUCUCUGUCAAGAUGAUCUCACACUGUUUGAUGUUAAGUGCUGGAGAGGUCAUUCAAUGAGUGAUAAUGUUCCACUGUGUGGUUUUCUAUCUUGGCAUGCUUUUGCUGCGUUGGCAGUGCGUUUGGGAUCAUUGUCAUGAAGAAAAAUGACGCUGUUGUCGAUUAGAGGCUUUGAAGAUGAAUGGCUUCUUGACAGCAAUCAUUCCACUGAAGGCGAAUAGUAGAUGGAUUAGCUGAAGGGCCAUCUCUCAGGACAGAGCCUACAGUAUGCCGCAGCCUAAAGGCAGAGUGAUGUUGCUGAGGCUGGAGUGAUUACUGGCCUUCUUCUUACAGGGUGGUGGGUCUUGGAGGACAACUGCUGAUCCCUGUUAAAGUGGUCGACAUGUGAAGUGCAACUGGCUCGUGGCAAAGCUGGCUCUGGCCUUGGACUGUGUGGUUUUUAGCCUUCAUUUUUG